CCUACGGGAGGCAGCAGUGGGGAAUUUUGGACAAUGGGCGCAAGCCUGAUCCAGCCAUGCCGCGUGUGGGAAGAAGGCCUUCGGGUUGUAAACCACUUUUGUCAGGGAAGAAACGGCUCUUACUAAUAUUAGGGGCUAAUGACGGUACCUGAAGAAUAAGCACCGGCUAACUACGUGCCAGCAGCCGCGGUAAUACGUAGGGUGCAAGCGUUAAUCGGAAUUACUGGGCGUAAAGCGUGCGCAGGCGGCUUUGCAAGACAGAUGUGAAAUCCCCGGGCUCAACCUGGGAACUGCAUUUGUGACUGCAUGGCUAGAGUACGGUAGAGGGGGAUGGAAUUCCGCGUGUAGCAGUGAAAUGCGUAGAUAUGCGGAGGAACACCGAUGGCGAAGGCAAUCCCCUGGACCUGUACUGACGCUCAUGCACGAAAGCGUGGGGAGCAAACAGGAUUAGAUACCCUGGUAGUCCACGCCCUAAACGAUGUCAACUGGUUGUUGGACGGCUUGCUGUUCAGUAACGAAGCUAACGCGUGAAGUUGACCGCCUGGGGAGUACGGCCGCAAGGUUGAAACUCAAAUGAAUUGACGG
rnacentral:rRNA from 1 species